UUGAUGAAUUUGAAGACCUCAACUUGUAGAGUAGAAGAAUUUGAAGACUUCAACUUGCAGACUUCAAGAAUUUGAAGACUUCAACU
rnacentral:pre_miRNA from 1 species